AACGUGUCAUGACUACCUACAAGAUGUAAAAUUUGAUGGAAUAUCAAAAUUACUCUUCCGUAGUAAGUUACCGUGCAAUUUAAUUCUUCGAUCACACAACAUCCCAGAUAGGCCAUAGACACGAAAUCAUAUCAAGCCUAAAUACUUAUCCAUAUGUAUCUCGAUCUGAUGAUGACUCGAUUGAUGAACUAGUAAAAAUUCUUUUCUAUUGUUCGUCCCGACUUUGGUCAGAGAUUUUCUAAAUCAUCAUCCUAUGAGAUCACAUAGGAUGUUCUCUUUUCUUACAAGGAGUGAUCGAUUCCUUAUUGACCACUCAUAACCUCC
rnacentral:lncRNA from 1 species